CACCCUCCCCCUGCUAUACACACUUUAAAUAGAAAGUAGGCAGGAGCCAGAAGAUUUAUGACUGAUGAUUUGGAAUGCAGGAGAGAGCCUGAAGGAGCACGGAGACGUCCUUGGGGUUCAGACCAGUGGAAGUCGGUCUCGGCCUGGUGCAAGGCCUCUCAGCAGAGCAAGCUCCCAUGGUGCUGGCAGAAGUUUCAGCUAGAGAAGGAAGCUUGUGGGCACUGGAGGUGGCAGCUGUCAUGCAGUAACUGACCCUGCAGCUACAGAGUAUGGGCGAUGAUCCUUGGACGUGAGAACCUGGAGCACCUGCUGGUUCUGUUUCUCCCUGGAAACGUGGCCAUAUGUUGGAAGCUGCUUCUCCCACGAGCCAGUCCUGUGGAGGCUGUUCUGGUUGCUGUUAUGUCCUGCCCAAACCUCUGGGUCCUCUUACCAUUUUUGUGCCUGCAGAUGCCACCAACAGCUGGCCUGAGGGAGAGGGCUAUCAGGCUGCUGAAACCCAUUUUGCUUGUGUCAAGCAGGAAAGAGAGCAGGAAAAUGCCUGGGACUGUGCCUCCUCCUGGGGCCACCUCUGACAACAACCCAGCUCCCUUGCCCUGUGGAGACACUCCAGGAAGCGACCUGCACCAUCUCCAGAACUCCCCUAAAGAAAUGAGCCCAAGUUAUCCCCA